AUCUCUCGCUCGGCACCUCUGGAAGAACCCGGACUCCUCCUCCUCUCUCUCUUAUCCUUCUCCUCUCUCUAUUUUCUCUGUUUUGGUAAGACUGAAAGAGAGACAGAGACCAGAGACUGAAAGAGAGAGUUUGGGUACGACAUGAAGAAAUAACUGGAUCCUGGAAAUCAAACGUCAACCCCAAGAUAAAUGCGAUUUUGGGUUAUUGUUUCCGCUUUGAUGUUCACUCAAUUUCGAGAUAUAUUCAUCAAUCGAAAUGGGGUUUCGGCAAAAAGCGCAUGUCUCUUUGAUGAAGUCUGAUCUUUUCUAUUGCUUGCAUUCUAGAUUUGUAAAUGUGAAUUGGAUAGUGGUGCAUGGAGCUAUUAUGGAUAUCAAAGAUGAUGAUAUGCUUUCAGGUUUGAGAAAAAGAUCCCUGAAGCUUUCCGAUAGAGGGUUCCUCAUCUCCAACACCUUUAGUGGGUUCUCUAAAGUCUAAAUGCAUCUAUUACCUUGAAAUAGACUGAGCCGAAUCACAGUGAUUGUCAAAAAUUUCCUAGCCCGCAGCAACGCGCAGGCGAUUGACUAGUUGGGAAACGACUGGCUGGAUACACACAUACAUGGAGUUUCAGAUACGGAGGUCCGUUCUUUUUAAAAACUACGGAUGGUCAAUGUUACCCGUUGGAUCUAUUUAAAUGAUCUGCAACGGUCAUGAUUAAACAGGGAAAAAUUGGUUGUUUGAGAGAGACUACGGGCCGGUUCAAUCUUGGAUUCGACCCAUCGAGAAUAAUUACUGCCUGCAGAG